AGAGUUUGAUCCUGGCUCAGGAUGAACGCUGGCGGCGUGCUUAACACAUGCAAGUCGAACGAAGCACUUUAUUUGAUUUCCUUCGGGACUGAUUAUUUUGUGACUGAGUGGCGGACGGGUGAGUAACGCGUGGGUAACCUGCCUUGUACAGGGGGAUAACAGUUGGAAACGGCUGCUAAUACCGCAUAAGCGCACGGCAUCGCAUGAUGCAGUGUGAAAAACUCCGGUGGUAUAAGAUGGACCCGCGUUGGAUUAGCUAGUUGGUGAGGUAAUGGCCCACCAAGGCGACGAUCCAUAGCCGACCUGAGAGGGUGACCGGCCACAUUGGGACUGAGACACGGCCCAAACUCCUACGGGAGGCAGCAGUGGGGAAUAUUGCACAAUGGGCGAAAGCCUGAUGCAGCGACGCCGCGUGAGCGAAGAAGUAUUUCGGUAUGUAAAACUCUAUCAGCAGGGAAGAUAAUGACGGUACCUGACUAAGAAGCACCGGCUAAAUACGUGCCAGCAGCCGCGGUAAUACGUAUGGUGCAAGCGUUAUCCGGAUUUACUGGGUGUAAAGGGAGCGCAGGCGGUGCGGCAAGUCUGAUGUGAAAGCCCGGGGCUCAACCCCGGUACUGCAUUGGAAACUGUCGUACUAGAGUGUCGGAGGGGUAAGCGGAAUUCCUAGUGUAGCGGUGAAAUGCGUAGAUAUUAGGAGGAACACCAGUGGCGAAGGCGGCUUACUGGACGAUAACUGACGCUGAGGCUCGAAAGCGUGGGGAGCAAACAGGAUUAGAUACCCUGGUAGUCCACGCCGUAAACGA
rnacentral:rRNA from 1 species